rnacentral:rRNA from 1 species
AGGGAAUCUUCCACAAUGGACGAAAGUCUGAUGGAGCAACGCCGCGUGAGUGAAGAAGGUUUUCGGAUCGUAAAGCUCUGUUGUUGGUGAAGAAGGAUAGAGGCAGUAACUGGUCUUUAUUUGACGGUAAUCAACCAGAAAGUCACGGCUAACUACGUGCCAGCAGCCGCGGUAAUACGUAGGUGGCAAGCGUUGUCCGGAUUUAUUGGGCGUAAAGCGAGCGCAGGCGGAAUGAUAAGUCUGAAGUGAAAGCCCACGGCUCAACCGUGGAAUUGCAUCGGAAACUGUCAUUCUUGAGUGCAGAAGAGGAGAGUGGAACUCCAUGUGUAGCGGUGGAAUGCGUAGAUAUAUGGAAGAACACCAGUGGCGAAGGCGGCUCUCUGGUCUGCAACUGACGCUGAGGCUCGAAAGCAUGGGUAGCGAAC